rnacentral:rRNA from 1 species
UACGGAGGGUGCAAGCGUUGUCCGGAUUUAUUGGGUUUAAAGGGUGCGUAGGCGGCCUUUUAAGUCAGUGGUGAAAUACUCCAGCUUAACUGGAGGGGUGCCAUUGAUACUGGGAGGCUUGAGUACAGUUGAGGUAGGCGGAAUUGACGGUGUAGCGGUGAAAUGCUUAGAUAUCAUCAAGAACACCGAUAGCGAAGACAGCUUACUAAACUUUAACUGACGCUGAGGCACGAAAGCGUGGGGAGCAAAC